rnacentral:lncRNA from 1 species
GCGUGCGCUGGCUGCUUUUGGCCACCGAUACGCUGCGUCGGCGCUCCAAAGUUCCAGGAAAUCAAAAUGCCAUAGUUUCACGGGAUAGACGGAUCAGCUUGGUCUGGGGAUGUCGUCAGGUUCCUGUGCUUUUUUCCCAAUAUCUUUGCUUCCGCCAGAUCCUAGAUCCAGUGUCUUUCGUCGGCUGGCUUUGUUUGCGCCGCUGAAGAACAACAAUAGUCAGCCAAUAUCUAGUCCAAAGUCCAAGCGCCGCCUUAAGUUUAGUUGGUUCACCAUGCAGCGUGGAUGGACGGUCAAUUUCUUCGUCCGUCGCCCAACCGGCAGCAACACAUACGCGAUGAUUUGAUUGGUUCCUUGUGUCCUAAAUGAAGGUCAGGAGAGGCUAGAGUUCCAAAUCGUAGUUCGUGUGAACCAGUGUGAACCAGUUGAAUCUCAUCAAUCUUAUCAAGUCAUCUAAUAAAAAAAGGUUUCAUUUUUUCCCAAAAAAUAGUGCAUCUGAUCUUUCCAUUAAUAUAUAGUGUUGUAUUUAGACGUUCAUAUAGUUCCCUACUGCAUUUAACUCAUCCAUAAGCUAGAUGCAUCUAUGAAUCUAUUUAUAAAUUGCUGCUACUAUUUUUUUCCAUUGCAUAAAUAUAAAGAUGCUUUCUUCAUAUUUACCCAUGUCUGUCAUCAUGCGGUAAUUGACUAAUUCCUUAUGUACAGGUUUCUUCGUAUUUACCCAUACCUCUCAUCACAUGAUCAUUUUAUUACUCUGAUGUAUGUCCUGUUUAUUACAAAGGAAUAGAUAAAUAUUAGGUCAGUAGUAACUAUUUCCUUCAGCAAUUUCAUUUACAACAUCAGCCACAAAUUUCUGAAAUUGUGUGCAAGCAUCCCAAGUGAGAAUAACUGUUUUAGGAUGCCUAGGCUCUUAUGAAAAUUAGUUUGUCUGAACAUGCAUUCAUAAAUGAUGUUCAGUGAAGUAUCUGCACAAUACAUAUAGAGACUUUAGCCUGACGUGAAAAGGCUAAAUCAGUUUUGUUAGUUGCAUGUAUGCUUCAAAGUUCUAUAAGCUAUAACUAAAGAGAUUUGGACAGCAAGCUGUCGUACUAAAUAAACUCACAUGUUUUCUGUUUGCCGGAACUAUUCUC